rnacentral:piRNA from 1 species
UAGAGACAACAUCUCAUAAUGGUAUCUCUAU